AUCUAAAAGACCUAGGACUCUGCCCCGGUGCAAAUAUGGGUUGACCUUGAUGAGCUGAAAAAUGAGUUGAUGAGAGAAAAAAGUGAAAAAUAAUACAUUUUCUGUGUCACCGUUCCAGCACGUUCCGUUGUUAGCUGGCCAGUCAACCCAUAUUUGCACCGGGCACCGGGGCCGAGCGCUAAGUAAACCUCUUUUACGGUGCGGCCGGUGCGACGGUGCUGCGGAGUAGACCACGACCACAGCAGAAUUCUUGAAGUCUGGCAAUGUCAAAAUCCGCCAUGAUGUUUGGAUGAAGGUGUUUUUCGCUGUUCGCCCUCACUUUUCCAUAGAAGAUUCGAUUAACGACGCAGCCAACAUCUCAACAGUUAACGAUGCCAACAAACAGAGAAAAUGAAAAAAUAAAAGUGAAAAUUUACUUGGAAACCCACAGAGAGUUCGUAUCAUGGUAUGGUAUAAUACCAUGGUUCGUAUUAUACAAUCCAAUAGCUUAUUUUUCCGGUGCUUAAUCACAGGAAUUUUUCGAAAUAAAUCCUUGUAGGUAUCUCCUAAACCAUGUUAA